rnacentral:sRNA from 23 species
AGAUAUCCUCGUUAGGUGAGGCUCCUAUACAAACAAAAGCCACUGCCCGGAAAUAUCGAGAGAUACCUACGGGUAGAACAGAAAUUGUCGGAUUAAGGCUUUUUCUAAGGUGGCUAAGAGAUGCUUCUACUCUUUACGUUGUAUAGUGCUAAAACCAGACCAGGGGGAACGGAC